UCUAUGGCCAUACCACCCUGAACAUGCCCCAUCUUGUCUGAUCUCAGAAGCCAAGCAAGGUCAAGCUUGGUUAGUACUUGAAUGGAUAGAACAUUGACAUAUGCAUUCCAGGGCUGAUAGAG
rnacentral:rRNA from 1 species